ensembl:snRNA U6 U6 spliceosomal RNA
GUGAUCAAUUCAGCAGCACAUUAUAUAACACUGGAACGAUACUGAGAUUAACAUUGGUGCCAGGCAAGGAUAACAUGACAAUUCAUGAAAAAUUCCAUAUUUUU